GGUUGAUGUGGGUAUACAUUAGUCAUGAUGCAAACGUUAAGCCAAGGGCAGAUAAGGUAUAAAUAAAUACAUCCUACACCACACCAAUACCCAUCUCAAUUAAAUAUGUAGAACCAAAUAAUGAAACACCAUGUUAUAUCAUAUGUAACAAAUUAUAAGGGAGGAAAGACUCAAUAAAGAUAUGGCACUUCCCACCCCAUAUUUAAACCAUUGGAAAAAGAUUAUCCCCG